CAAAGGGAUCAGCGGAUGGCCCCAGCCCCGAGGCCACACCGCCCACCUCCGUGCGGGAGCAGGUGACACGGCCCAGUUUCGACAGACCAAGGCCUGUGUAUGACAACAUACCCGAGCCCCGGGGACCUAUGGGAGCCAAAAAGGUGGGUGUGCUCCAAAGGGAUCUCCAUGA
rnacentral:lncRNA from 1 species